rnacentral:misc_RNA from 1 species
GAUGAAGAACGUAGCGAAAUGCGAUAAGUAAUGUGAAUUGCAGAAUUCAGUGAAUCAUCGAAUCUUUGAACGCACCUUGCGCCCUUUGGCUAUUCCGAAGGGCAUGCCUGUUUGAGUAUCAUGAACACCUCAACUCUCAUGGUUUGCCAUGAUGAGCUUGGACUCUGGGGGUCUUGCUGGCCUAUGGUCAGCUCCUCUCAAAUAAAUCAGCUUGCCAGUGUUUGGUGGCAUCACAGGUGUGAUAACUAUCUACGCUUGUGGUUUUCCAUCAGGUAACCUUCAGUGAUGGAGGUUCGCUGGAGCUCAUAAAUGUCCCUCCUCAGCGAGGACAGCUUUCUGAACGUUUGAUCUCAAAUCAGGUAGGACUACCCGCUGAACUUAAGCAUAUCAAUAAGCGGAGGA